CCCCUUCUUCAAAAAAUAUUGAAGGGACGAAGUUUUCCUGAUGUUAGCGGCGGACGGGUGAGUAACACGUGGGUAACCUUGCCUUGUAAGACUGGGAUAACUUCCGGGAAACCGGGGCUUAAUACCUGGAUGGUUGUUUGAACCGCAUGGUUUCAAACAUAAAAGGUGGCUUUCGGCCUACCAUUUACAAGAUGGCCCCGCGGCGCUAUUAGGUAGGUUGGGAGGAAACGGCUUCCCAAGGCGAUUAUGCGUACCCGACCUGAGAGGGGAUACCCCCUGGACUUGAGACACGGCCCAACUUUUUAGGGGAGGAGCAGUUGGGAAUUUUCCGAAAUGGAACAAAGCUUGACGGACCAACGCCGGAGAGUGAUGAAGGUUUG
rnacentral:rRNA from 1 species